rnacentral:rRNA from 1 species
CCAUUCCGCAAGGAAGUAAGAUCCCUGAAAGAUGAUCAGGUUGAUAGGUCUGAGGUGGAAGUGUGGCGACACAUGGAGCUGACAGAUACUAAUCGAUCGAGGACUUAACCUAAUUU